AAUGUCAAGAUCACACAAGAUGUUGUGCAGAAGCCACUAAAGGCAGUCAGGAAAGGGAGUAUACUGCGCAGCUGAAGGCAAGGAAUAAAACAUACAAGUGGAGGCUCUCCAGAGACACAGUGCAGCUACAGUACAGUUAAAGAAUAAAGACAAAUGUCGUCCCUUGAAGUACAGCUUCACAAUCAGAGAGUACUUGACAGUUUGGAACCAGGUGACCUGGUGGAGUUUCCGCGAGGAGUGUACAAUCACUGGGCUAUGGACAUUGGUAAUGAAGAAGUCGUGCAUCGGACUGGAGUCCAUGGUCCAAUGAGGAGUGGACCGGAACACGCAUCAUCAGUAACUGGAAAAGUGUAUGAUAAAGGAACUGUUCGCAAAGAUAAGUUUUGGGACGUUGUUGGAGACAGCAAGGCGUACAAGAACAACUCAAAUGACGAGACAUUUC